rnacentral:piRNA from 1 species
UCACUACUUCAAUUGUUGUAA